rnacentral:rRNA from 1 species
UCUGACAUACAAUAAGCGGAGGAAAAGAAACCAAACAGGGAUUGCCCUAGUAACGGCGAGUGAAGCGGCAACAGCUCAAAUUUGAAAUCUGGCCCUCGGCCCGAGUUGUAAUUUGUAGAGGAUGCUUUUGGCGCGGCGCCUUCCGAGUUCCCUGGAACGGGACGCCAGAGAGGGUGAGAGCCCCGUACGGUUGGAUGCCAAGCCUCUGUAAAGCUCCUUCGACGAGUCGAGUAGUUUGGGAAUGCUGCUCAAAAUGGGAGGUAAAUGCCUUCUAAAGCUAAAUACUGGCCAGAGACCGAUAGCGCACAAGUAGAGUGAUCGAAAGAUGAAAAGCACUUUGAAAAGAGGGUUAAAUAGCACGUGAAAUUGUUGAAAGGGAAGCGCUCAUGACCAGACGUGUGCCUCGUGAAUCAUCCGGCGUUCUCGCCGGUGCACUUCGCCUGGCACAGGCCAGCAUCGGUUUUCCCAGGGGGACAAAAGCCGCGGGAACGUAGCUCUUCCGGGAGUAUUAUAGCCCGUGGCACAAUGCCCUUGGGGGGACCGAGGCCCGCGCUCCGCAAGGAUGCUGGCAUAAUGGUCAUCAGCGACCCGUCUUGAAACACGGACCAAGGAGUCAAGCAUUAGGGCGAGUGUUUGGGUGUCAAACCCGCACGCGAAAUGAAAGUGAACGCAGGUGAGAGCUUCGGCGCAUCAUCGACCGAUCCUGAUGUAUUCGGAUGGAUUUGAGUAAGAGCCUUACCGCUUGGACCCGAAAGAUGGUGAACUAUGCCUGGAUAGGGUGAAGCCAGAGGAAACUCUGGUGGAGGCUCGCAGCGGUUCUGACGUGCAAAUCGAUCGUCAAAUCUGGGCAUGGGGGCGAAAGUGAGUUUUAUAACCUAUAUCUAUUGUUAAUUAGUGGGAGUCAAAUGCUAACCAGAGCCUCUUAUAGGACUAAUCGAACCAU